UGAGUAAGCCAGAUGAUCGCAGGUACAGCCUGAAAAGGCGUACAUGAGGAAAGUCCGGGCUCCAUAGGGCAAUGGUGCCGGGUAACUCCCGGUGAAGGUGACUUUAAGGAAAGUGCAACAGAGAUAUACCGCCGUUCCGGUGGUGGGAAGUGGAAUGUUAAAGUGAUUUUUCCCACUUUGACAUUUUAGUUCCCGCUUCCGGAGCGGUAAGGAUGGAAAGGUGAGGUAAGAGCUCACCAGCGGCAUGGUGACUUGCCGGCUAUGUAAACCCCACCUGGAGCAACGCCGUGGAGGGACGCAAUGACUGCCCGUCAGUCCCGGGGAGGUGGCUUGAGCGCUGUAGAAAUGCAGUGCCUAGAUAGAUGAUCAUUUAAUACAGAACCCGGCUUACAGACUUACUCAUUCA
rnacentral:RNase_P_RNA from 2 species